rnacentral:rRNA from 1 species
UACGUAGGGUGCAAGCGUUGUCCGGAAUCAUUGGGCGUAAAGCGCGCGUAGGUGGUCAUGUAAGUCCGCUGUGAAAGUCAAAGGCUCAACCUUUGAAAGCCGGUGGAUACUGCAUGACUAGAGUACGGAAGAGGCGAGUGGAAUUCCUGGUGUAGCGGUGGAAUGCGCAGAUAUCAGGAGGAACACCAAUAGCGAAGGCAGCUCGCUGGGACGUUACUGACACUGAGGCGCGAAAGCGGGAGGGAGAACAGG